UGUUUCUCUCCCUGCUCUGUGCCUGAAGCAUCCCUUCCUCCUACAGACAAUCUGAUGGGUCCUUUUAACUCCCAACCAUUUCUCGGCCCUUCCUACCCUUUUCCAUGUGGUCUCUUCUCUAUAUUUAGUUGUGGACAGCAUGUUCUGUCCAUCUUCAAGUAAUUUUCUGGAUUAUUUAUGCUGAUAAGGCUGUUCUUUAGUUGUAUUCAUGGGACAAGCUGAUCCAUCCACUUGGAGACCGUUCAGAGCCAACAGGAGGUCUGGGUUUCUACAAGUUUCUCAAAUGAGAGAAACUUGAGCUAAGAAGUAUGAGGAGAAUGAUGCUGUUGACAGGUUUUAGAACUGAAAGUCCUGGAUCCCAUGCUCCCAGAUGGAGAGCGGGGAGACAACACAUGCUUUUCCCAGCACCAGAUCCCAGUUC